CACACCUGGACUUCAUCACUACCUUGAUUACUUCCCCUUCAUCUAGCACUCUGUAGCCUCACUCAUCACGCAGUAUUGGUUCUGUUUUCUUGUCCAGACACUGCUUUUGAUUUAUAUCGCGCCAUGUACGUUAUUAUUAAACUCACCAAUUGCACCUGCUUCCAGACUCCCUGCAUCUCCAUUACAGAAUACUACCUCAGUAAAUGGAAGCAGCAUGUAAUCAAGACAUCUCCCAGAUCUCCUGCAGUAGAUGAGGGUUCAGGCGCACGGAGGAGGUUUGGAAUGAUGCCCAGGUGAGGCUCCAGCACGCCAUUCACCUCCAAAAGGAGCAGGCGGAUCACCAUUGCAUUGAGGCUCCCGUGUUCGCGUCUGGCUCUCCACCAGGAACCUCCCACUUCGCCUGCCCUGUAUGAAGCUGAGCCCCCAGGCCGUUGGUUUCUGGUCCCUUGGCUGAUGCCGUCCCCCAUGACACCCCUCCACCUCCCCUGGACAUCGAGGGGAGCCCUGCCUGUGCCAUCAGAUCCCUCCUGGAUUCCUGACAUCAUGGGGGACGGCUCCAGUAUCUGGUGGACUGGGAGGGGUACGGUCCAGAGGAGCGGUGUUGGGUCCUGGUGGACGAUAUUCUAGAUCCCGAGAUUUCCACCUUCGCCGCCCGGACCAGCCUGCUCCUUGCCCUUGGGGCCGUCCCCCUGGCCGGCAUCCCCCUGGACCACUGGUCCUGGCAACCAUUAUGCACACCUGCGCCUCAUCAUUAUGCACACCUGAACUUCAUCACUAUCUUGACUACUUCCCCUUUAUCUAGCACUCUGUAGCCUCACUCAUCAAGCAGUAUUGGUUCUGUUUUCUUGUACGGACACUUCUUUUGUUUUGUAUCUCUCCAUGUUCGUUAUUAUUAAACUCACCAACUGCACCUGC